UACAGCCACAUCAUGUUGAAACACUAGUUCCCAUAUGAUCACCCAAGGUAAGCAACACUGAGCCUGGUUAGUACCUAGAUGGAUGACCGCUUGAGAAGACCAGGUGCUGUUAG